rnacentral:rRNA from 1 species
CCUACGGGUGGCAGCAGUGAGGAAUAUUGGUCAAUGGGCGGGAGCCUGAACCAGCCAAGUCGCGUGAGGGAAGACGGUCCUACGGAUUGUAAACCUCUUUUGCCGGGGAGCAACGGGGUCCUUGCGAGGGCCCGAUGAGAGUACCCGGAGAAAAAGCAUCGGCUAACUCCGUGCCAGCAGCCGCGGUAAUACGGAGGAUGCGAGCGUUAUCCGGAUUUAUUGGGUUUAAAGGGUGCGUAGGCGGGCUGUUAAGUCAGCGGUCAAAUGUCGGGGCUCAACCAUAGAAUUGCCGUUGAAACUGGGAGGCUUGAGUAUGUUUGAGGCAGGCGGAAUGCGUGGUGUAGCGGUGAAAUGCUUAGAUAUCACGCAGAACCCCGAUUGCGAAGGCAGCCUGCCAAGCCAUGACUGACGCUGAUGCACGAAAGCGUGGGGAUCAAACAGGAUUAGAUACCCCAGUAGUC